CCUACGGGGGGCUGCAGUGGGGAAUAUUGGACAAUGGGGGGAACCCUGAUCCAGCCAUGCCGCGUGUGUGAAGAAGGCCCUCGGGUUGUAAAGCACUUUCAGUGAGGAAGAACGCCUGGUGGUUAAUACCCAUCAGGAAAGACAUCACUCACAGAAGAAGCACCGGCUAACUCCGUGCCAGCAGCCGCGGUAAUACGGAGGGUGCGAGCGUUAAUCGGAAUUACUGGGCGUAAAGCGCGCGUAGGUGGCUUGAUAAGCCGGUUGUGAAAGCCCCGGGCUCAACCUGGGAACGGCAUCCGGAACUGUCAAGCUAGAGUGCAGGAGAGGAAGGUAGAAUUCCCGGUGUAGCGGUGAAAUGCGUAGAGAUCGGGAGGAAUACCAGUGGCGAAGGCGGCCUUCUGGACUGACACUGACACUGAGGUGCGAAAGCGUGGGUAGCAAACGGGAUUAGAUACCCUUGUAGUC
rnacentral:rRNA from 1 species